ensembl:lncRNA
GUGACCAUUACACAGUAAUAAGAUAGUAAUGCUCUGUGCUAUUAUGGUAUCUACCCAAAUUAAGAUAUCCCUGUUAAUAUCCCUGUAACCAAAGCAUUUAAACUUUUAAACCUGACUCAAAACACUCAUCUGAAAAAAAUAAUAAUAAUAGUGGAAAUAAUAUAUCAUAUAUUAUAUAUGAUACAUUUCUUCUAUCUUAUGUUAACUCUCACAUCAGUACACAGGCUUUUGUAUGUGUGUGUUUCUGUAAUUUUUGUCUACAUUAGUAAUUACAGAUGGAGAUAAGAUGUAAAGAGUAUAGAUGAUUUUAUAAUCAUUACAUUUGCGUCGCUAUGAAAUCAAAAAGACACAACCCGGUACUCUCAAGUCUCAAGACUCAAUAAACCACGACAUUGUGCGUGUGGAAAAACUUCUUUAAACAACUUGACCUUUCUGUUUUCAGCGCCUGGAAUUGACUGAAAGUAGUAACUUCGGGCGUGUGGGUUUAAUGCAGACAUUAAAACAUGACUACGGCAAUGAAUUGUACAGAAGCCAUAAAGGCACUACUGAACAAACCUCCUAAAGAAGCAACAGCUUUUUUCCUCCCCCACAUUCACACACACCCAUCUCAAAGGACCAGAGGGAUCCAGAUGAGUCAAAAAGCUAGAGUGGAAGGUUAACAGAAUGGAACGCACAUAAGGCGCUGACACACCAAACCACGGCUUCCUCUCCCCCACAUGCCUCUCAUAACUCCACAGAUGACUGGCCAAGUUCCCACAGAAGUGCAGGGGAGGCCUGUGCGGACCUCUAACACCAAAGGAACAUGAUCUAACCCCUGGCCAAGAUGUGUGUGGGCAUGUGACUGUGCUUUGUUAAAGAGAACGAACGAGUUAAAGUAAAUCAAAAGUCUUCCAACAUUUCCUCCACAAAAUCCCAGACAACUAGGAACUCAUUUUGGAUUUGGAUAAUGGAGGGGGAUAUUGGCUUGUUUGUUUUAGAAGAAAGGUCUUAAAAAGUCACAGGCACCGGAUAUGAUGUAGCACUGCUUUUCAAGUUGGAGUUUGUGGAAGCAUGAGGUCCAUGGGAAAAAUUAAGUUCCUCCUAUGCAACCACUGCAAGCACACACACUGAGUCAAAUCGGAGUGUUCCUCUUGUAAAUCGCUACAACUUUAGGUGACUUUUUUGUUUCAAAAGGUAAGUGGUAAAAUGGUAAAUCGUCUACACUUAUAAAAAAGCACUUUUUUAACCUUAGCGGUUCAAAGUGCUUUACACUGGUUCUCAUUCACCCAUUCACACACCAAUGGUAGCAGAGCUGCUAUGCAAGGUGCUAGCUUGCCAUCAGGAGCAACUUGGGGUUCAAUGUCUUGCCCAAGGACAAUUUGGCAUGUGGAGUCAUGUGGGCCAACCCUACGAUUAGUGGACAACCCGCUCUACCACCUGAGCCACAGCCACCCAAAGGUAGCACAUCUACAAUAUAUACAGAAGGUGUAGUUGUUACUAGCGAGCUAGAAGUACAUACAGUGCAAGUUUCCCCUAGGAAUAGAUUUGCCGCAGAGUUCCUGUGCAUCUUCUCCCGGUGUCUGCAUGGGGUUCUCUGGCUUCCUCUCACGUCCCAAAAUCCCACCAGUGGGUGGAGGAGCUGUGCUGAAUAGCCCCCUGGUGUGAAUGAGUAUGUGAAUGAAUGUGUGUGUACGUGUGUGUGUGCGCGCAUGUCCAUGGGACCCUGCUAUGGGCUGGAGUCCCAUUUUAAGGAUGCAUUCCUGCCUCAUACCCUAUGUUCCCAUGAAAGCGAAAGUGGGCGAGUGAGUAGAUAUGCCAGUGAAUAUCUCAGUAGUUAUCACGCUAGCUAGCUACGACUGUCAACUGGUACAAUUUUACGCACCAUAUCAUUCAAUCUCGAAUACAGACGGAAAGGCAUAACACUUCACUGCUUCUACAGGUUCACUGAUGACCAUGGGCCUGUUUUUUUUAAAUGAAUAAUAUCUAAGAAAGGUACUACUACCAAGUCAAAAAUAACAGGAGAGAAACACAAUGACUAAAGUCAUACUUUCAAGCACUGCUGGCAUUUUAAAGGUGCAAAGGCAAAACCUACUGAACCAUACGAACCGAAUGACUCAUGGGGCUACAGUUUCACUCUUAUACCCUUGUGAAUAAUCUGCAGCAGGGAUCCCAUCUUCUUAACUUUCAGUUUCACGAAUACGACCACUUACAUCAUAUGACAUACCACGUGUUAAAAAAAUAAAAAUUUUAAUUAAAAAAAUAAUAAAAAUACCCCGGCCACUUUAACAGGAACACCUGUACCCAUUUAUCCUGUCGGUCAAUCAUUUGGCAGCAGUGCAAUGCAUAAAAUCUUGCCUAUACAGGACAAGAGCUUUAGUAAAUGUUCACUUCAAACAUUAUAAUGAGGGGAAAAUGUGAUCUCAGGGACCUUGACUGGAAGCAUGGUUGUUAGUGCCAGAUUUGGUUUUACUAUUUCAGAAAUUGCUGGUCUUCUGGGAUUUUCAAUCACAAAAGUCUCUAGAGUUUACACAGAAUGGUGAGGGGGGAAAAAAACAUCGUGUGUGAGAAAUAAGUCACAUGUUAUGUGACGGACAAUGAAAACCAGCGCUGGUGUGAGAUUUGAAUUUUUUUGCAGCCAGAGACCCUUUUAAUUGUAAAAUAAAUUCCUCAGAACACAUUUUGUCAGUCUUGUUCGAGGCUAUGGUAACUCAAACUGCCCCUCUUUCCACCUGUUGUGAACAGAAAAGCAUCUCAGAAUGCACAACAUGCCAAACCUUGAGGCAGAUGGGCUACAAAAACAGAAGACCACACAAGGUUCCAUUCCAAGCCAAGAACAGGAAUCUGAGGGUUUCCAUGUGUACAGGCUCACCCAAACUGAGCAGUUGAAGACUGGAAAAAGAGCAGACAAUGUACUCACAAUCUUCUGCUGUCCAGUUGUGCUACUAAGGCACUUAAUCAGCAAAUAGUGCUGUCAAGUUUUUUUUUUCAGUGAACAGUAAACAGCAAAUGAUGACACGGAGAAACAAGUUGCAUUUAAAUCACAGAUCAGAUCUAAGACAAUGCAGAUACCAUGAGCUAGUUGACAUUUUUGGGAACAUAUCAGUACUCGGUAUCCUUCCUGUAUAUUACCUGAUACUUCUCUGUCUUUCUAAUCCUGUGGUGAGUGAGCUUAUUCAACUUGCUCAAAUUCAGUCUUGCUCGUAUCAGUGGUCACAAACAGUAUACCUGAAUGGGUCUGGUAUGCCUGAAAUUGAAGUUAUUUUCAAAGCCAGUGUUUCUGUGUCAAAUUGUUACUGUGAGAACGUCAGGUAGUCACUCUCAGUCUAUUAGUCAGAUUUCUGUUAGUCAAUUCACAGAUGCCUAGAGAUGCUCAUUUUUCUGGCUCAGGACUUAGUCACGUGUUUCACAUUUUUAAAGCUAGGCAGCCUUUUGUGGAAAAUCUGAACAUUUAUUUAAAAUAAUACCCACAAACUGAGUAUUACAAACAAACACAACUGAUUAUAUAUAUAUAUAUAUA